AUGGAGUCACAGGAGAGGUCACCCAAGGCCAAGGAAGCCCAUGCCGACGACGGCAUCACUAUCGCUGAGCUGCCGAGCCCCCGCCCCGGCGAGGGUCCGAAGAAGGAGAGGCUGCUCGACUUCCUCAGGGCCGCGCCCUCCAAGGGCGCCGUCCUCGCUCGCGUCGCCAGCCUCCGCACGCGCGCGGCGUACAGCAACUUCCUCCGCUCGCCGCCGGUCGCGCGCGCCGUUGACUGGCGCCGGGUGCGGGACAGGGGCGUGGCGUGGGCUAGGCAUCCCAUGAACGCCGCGCUGCUCGUGUGGUUCGCCUUCGUUGCUGCGGGGGUGGUCUUCGUGCUCCUGCUCAUGGUGGGGGCGCUCGACUCCGACGUGCCAGACGCGUCGCGCCGGCGGCGGUGGACGGAGGUGGCCAACCAGAUGCUCAACGCGCUCUUCACCAUCAUGUGCGUCUACCAGCACCCGCGACUCUGCCACCAUCUCGCGCUCCUCCUCCGGUGGCGCGCCCCCGCCGACGUCGCUGAGCUCCGGGCCGUGUACUGCAAGAACUGCGCCGGGGGCGUCAGGCGCGAGCGCCUCCACGUGGCGGUCGUCGUGCUCCUCCUGCAUGCCACCUGCUUCGCGCAGUACGCCUACUGCGCGCUCUUCUGGCUCUUCCGCAACGACAGGCGCCCCGGCUGGGCCGUUAACCUCUUGAUGGCGCUCGGCUCCGGCACCCCCGUCGUCGCCGGCCUGUACAUGGUCUACGGCCCGCUCGGACAGAAGAUCGCGCUCCCGGACUCUGUCGACGAGGAGGCCGCGACGGUGAAGGAGAGCGCCGUGGCCCGAUACGAUCGCACGGGCAGCGGCAGAGUGGUGGUCAGCAAGCCGGAGUGGGCCGGCGGGCUGUUCGACCUCGCCGACGAUCCCACGGUGGCGGCGAUGUCGCUGUCGUGCACCUUCUGCGUGUUCGGGUGGAACAUGGAGCGCCUGGGCCUGGGCAACAUGUACGUGCACGCCUUCACCUUCGCGCUCCUCUGCGCCGCGCCGCUGCUGGUCUUCGCGGUCGCCGCGCUCAGCAUCCGUGACGCCACACUCGGGUACCUCGUCGGCGCCGCGGGCGCGCUGCUCUCCGUGCUCGGUCUCACUUACGGGGGGUUCUGGCGAACGCGGAUGAGGAAGAGGUUCGGGCUGCCGGCUGACGACCGGUUCUGCGCUCCCGUGUGCGGCGGACGGCGUACCACGGUGGCGGCGGCGGACUACGCCAAGUGGCUCUUCUGCGCGCCGUGCGCGCUGGCGCAGGAGGUGAGGACGGGCAACUUCUACGACGUGGAGGGCGACGGUUUAUACGUGAAGGGAGAAGGUGGCGUGGAAGAAGAAAGGAGGCCGGCAAUGGCGCCCCUUGAGAGGGAAGGGAGCCUCGCGGCAUUGAUGGAGGCCGAGAAGACCGGCGAGCGUCUCCAUGCACCACCGGUGCCCAUGAGGGUAGAGACUAGAGACAAAGGAAGUACGUCUAUCUGCACGUCUGUCUGA
rnacentral:rRNA from 1 species